CUCCUACGGGGCGCAGCAGUCGGGAAUAUUGCGCAAUGGAGGAAACUCUGACGCAGUGACGCCGCGUAUAGGAAGAAGGUUUUCGGAUUGUAAACUAUUGUCGUUAGGGAAGAUAAAAGACUGUACCUACGGAGGAAGCCCCGGCUAACUAUGUGCCAGCAGCCGCGGUAAUACCUAGGGGGCAAGCGCUGUCCGGAUUUACUGGGUGUAAAGGGCGUGCAGCCGGAGAGACAAGUCAGAUGUGAAAUCCACGGGCUCAACC
rnacentral:rRNA from 1 species